AUUGAACGCUGGCGGCAGGCCUAACACAUGCAAGUCGAGCGGAUGAAGGGAGCUUGCUCCUGGAUUCAGCGGCGGACGGGUGAGUAAUGCCUAGGAAUCUCCCUGGUAGUGGGGGAUAACGUCCGGAAACGGGCGCUAAUACCGCAUACGUCCUGAGGGAGAAAGUGGGGGAUCUUCGGACCUCACGCUAUCAGAUGAGCCUAGGUCGGAUUAGCUAGUUGGUGGGGUAAAGGCCUACCAAGGCGACGAUCCGUAACUGGUCUGAGAGGAUGAUCAGUCACAAUGGAACUGAGACACGGACAAGACUCCUACGGGAGGCAGCAGUGGGGAAUAUUGGACAAUGGGCGAAAGAAUGAUCCAGCCAUGCCGCGUGUGUGAAGAAGGUCUUCGGAUUGUAAAGCACUUUAAGUUGGGAGGAAGGGCAGUAAGUUAAGACCUUGCUGGUUUGACGUUACCAACAGAAUAAGCACCGGCUAACUACGUG
rnacentral:rRNA from 1 species